UUUGAUCAUGGCUCAGGACGAACGCUGGCGGCGUGCCUAACACAUGCAAGUCGAACGGAACUUCUUUGAAAGAUUUCUUCGGAAUGAAUUUGAUUAAGUUUAGUGGCGGACGGGUGAGUAACGCGUGAGUAACCUGCCUCUAAGAGGGGAAUAACAUUCUGAAAAGAAUGCUAAUACCGCAUAAUAUAUAUUUAUCGCAUGGUAGAUAUAUCAAAGAUUUAUCGCUUAGAGAUGGACUCGCGUCCGAUUAGUUAGUUGGUGAGGUAACGGCUCACCAAGACCGCGAUCGGUAGCCGGACUGAGAGGUUGAACGGCCACAUUGGGACUGAGACACGGCCCAGACUCCUACGGGAGGCAGCAGUGGGGGAUAUUGCGCAAUGGGGGAAACCCUGACGCAGCAACGCCGCGUGAAGGAUGAAGGUCUUCGGAUUGUAAACUUCUUUUAUUAAGGACGAAGAAAGUGACGGUACUUAAUGAAUAAGCUCCGGCUAACUACGUGCCAGCAGCCGCGGUAAUACGUAGGGAGCAAGCGUUGUCCGGAUUUACUGGGUGUAAAGGGUGCGUAGGCGGCUUUGCAAGUCAGAUGUGAAAUCUAUGGGCUCAACCCAUAGCCUGCAUUUGAAACUGCAGAGCUUGAGUGAAGUAGAGGCAGGCGGAAUUCCCCGUGUAGCGGUGAAAUGCGUAGAGAUGGGGAGGAACACCAGUGGCGAAGGCGGCCUGCUGGGCUUUAACUGACGCUGAGGCACGAAAGCGUGGGUAGCAAACAGGAUUAGAUACCCUGGUAGUCCACGCUGUAAACGAUGAUUACUAGGUGUGGGGGGUCUGACCCCUUCCGUGCCGGAGUUAACACAAUAAGUAAUCCACCUGGGGAGUACGGCCGCAAGG
rnacentral:rRNA from 1 species